UACGGAGGAUGCGAGCGUUACCCGGAUUUAUUGGGUUUAAAGGGUGCGUAGGCGGACGCUUAAGUCAGCGGUAAAAUUGCGGGGCUCAACCUCGUCGAGCCGUUGAAACUGGGUGCCUUGAGUGGGCGAGAAGUACGCGGAAUGCGUGGUGUAGCGGUGAAAUGCAUAGAUAUCACGCAGAACUCCGAUUGCGAAGGCAGCGUACCGGCGCCCUACUGACGCUGAAGCACGAAGGCGUGGGUAUCGAACAGG
rnacentral:rRNA from 1 species